rnacentral:rRNA from 1 species
ACUCAAAGGAAUUGACGGGGACCCGCACAAGCGGUGGAACAUGUGGUUUAAUUCGAUGCUACGCGAAGAACCUCACCAGGACUUGACAUACAGGAGGUAGUGAACUGAAAGGGAAACGAACCGUAAAGUCGGUAGCCUGUACAGGUGCUGCAUGGCUGUCGUCAGCUCGUGUCGUGAGAUGUUGGGUUAAGUCCCGCAACGAGCGCAACCAUUACCCCAUGUUGCUAACAUGUCUGGGCCUUAAAAUCUAGAUGUGUGCACUCUUGGGGGACUGCCUGGGAUAACCAGGAGGAAGGUGGAGAUGACGUCAAGUCAGUACGGCCUUUAUGUCCUGGGCUACACACGUGUUACAAUGGUUGGUACAAAGGGUUGCCAACUCGCAAGAGGGAGCUAAUCUCAAAAAACCAACCUCAGUUCGGAUUGGAGUCUGCAAUUCGACUCCAUGAAGCCGGAAUCGCUAGUAAUGGAAGAUCAGCUCGCUUCCGUGAAUACGUUCCCGGGUCUUGUACACACCGCCCGU